rnacentral:lncRNA from 1 species
AUACAUCAAAGUUUCCUUUCCCAGGUACGUGACCUUCAAAUACAUUCCUUACAAUAUCUGACAAUAGAUUCCAUUGUCUUACUAACUAUAACCAUUAACUCAUACUAAUUCUCAUUCGAACAGCUUUUCUUUUCCCUUGUUCAUGCCUGAGCCUUCAGGUCGAUCGUACGUAACUGAAAACAUUUAGUUUAAGCAAGGAUGAGCAUUUGAGUGCCCAGCAAGUAAUAGCAAUUAUAUAUAUAAGCUGAAAGAAUAUAAGUAUUCUCUUUCCAUAACACUUCUACAACGAAUCGAAAGUUGUGAAGUAAUCUGUACUGAUAAAACAUUCACAUAACAACUCUCCUUCAAAUUCUUGAAAUGAGGCUCCGGCUCUACCCAUGAAUAGGGUUUAAGAAACAUACUAUGAACAUUGUUUUUCAUUUUCGAAAAGGUUUAGCAGAAAUUCAUCCGUAAACCGUCAUAACUUACGGGCACGGAGGGUGAUCAGCCCCGUUGUACCCUGUAUUGAUCAAUACUACAUAACUUGAACGAAAUUCAUCGCUCACCCUUUGUCCGCCGAAGCGCAUAAAAAUUUUCCCAUUAUCGGGAUGUUCAUACAUGCCUGGUUCCAAACCCGAAGGUUUUUAAUCUUGCUCAACAAUAAUAUGUAAUUCAACAUAUAUGUAUACGGGUAAUUGACAAAGGUAUAUCAACAUGUGAAUAAAUGCCAUGAUUAUCCAAGUGGGGACACUUGUAUAACCAUUUAGAAAUCAACUUAACAGAAUAUAUAUCUGAGCUAACAUGUUGAUAAUCAAAGCGUACAUAAUCUGUACAGGAAUAGAAUAAUUCUGAAACUUCUUACUCAUGUCCAUUGCAUAAAGGAAAUGCAAAGGUAAGAUACUUGCCUGAUUCGCUGAUUACAAAUCUCAACUUAGGUUUUAUCUCUUUAUCACAACCUAUCAAUAAUCAGAUCAUUCGUUCGAUUAGAACAAUAUAUCAUAACACAUAGUACUGUCUAUUACAGUCAGCACAUAGUCUAAUCACGUCAUCACAUAAUCGCAGUGAUCAUACUUUUAGUUCAUAUUCUAUACUUGAAAUAUUUUUAUACAUUUUUCAAAUAUCUCAUCCAUGCUCUUACAGAAGUCUUUUCUUUCUAUUAUAGGGUCUGACAUUUGUCGGCGUACCGACAGCUUUAUCGGGUAAAUACUGAGUCUAAGACUCUUAUCCUAUACCUCAACAUCUGUAAAUAUCAAACAUUUUAUUUUUAAUCAUUUUCGAAUUUUCCAGAAAUUGAAAAAUUUAAAAUAAUUCAAAUCUGUCACUACCGGGCCUAUAGUGAUAUAACUGUUACUAUAGGUGUUCCUCAAAACUUCAUAACUUCAUAAUCGGUUCUCAAGUCAGCUAGUUUGGCCGGCUAUAACUUUCAAACAUCGGAAUCAUAAUUAAAUGAUUUAAACAUUAAACAAUUCCAUUAUCAUUAAUAAUUAAUUUAUAUUAAACUAUUAAUGAAACCAUUGCCAAAAUAUAAAAGUUAUUUAUAAUAACUCAAACUAUUUUUAAAACAUUUAUAUUACCCUUAAAUGAUUUUUAAAACAAUUAAAAUCAUUUUUAAAUAAUCACCAUUAAUAUAUAAAUAUUAAUGUACUAUUCAUCCAAAUAUUAAAAGUCAUUAAUUAUAACUUAAAAUAUUUUUAAAUCCUUAAUAUCCUCUUUAAAUGAUUUUUAAAUAAAUAAAACCAUUUUUAAACUAUUUAUUUAAUAAUAAUUAUUAAAUAAACUAAAUAUCAUUAAUAUUAUCUUAAUAUCAUUAAUAUUAAAUUAUUAAUGAAAUUAUCCUUUAAAUAUUAAAAGUUAUAUUUUAUAACUUAAAAUAUUUUUAAAUACCUUAAUUUCAUUUAAAAUGAUUUUUAUAAUAUUAAAAUCAUUUUUAAACUAAAUUAUUUAAUAUAAUCAUUAAAUAACUUUAAUAUCAUUAAUAUAUAAUUAAUUAAUGAAAUUCAUCACAAAAUAUUAAAAGUCAUGGGAAAUAACUUAAAAUAUUUUCUUAUACCAUAAUAUAAUUUUUCAUGAUUUUUCAUGAAUUAAAACUAUUUUUAAAUCAUUUAUUUAAUAUUAUAAUUAAAUAAAUAAAUACCUUUUAUAUUCCAAAAAUAUUAAAUAUUUAUGAAAUAUACUCAAAAUAAUUAAAAACUAUUUUUCAGACUUUAAAAUAAUUUUUCAUAAUUUAUUUGGUAUUUUUAAUAAUUAAAAUCUAAUUUUUCUAAUUUUUAAAUCAUUUUUCGGAAAAUCAGAAAUUAAAAUAAUUAAAACUGUCGCUAAAGGCCCCUAUAGUGACAGAAGUGUCGCUAUAGGUGUUCUUGAGCCUACCCAGAUCUUCAUAAGGCAGAACCGAGUGGCCUACUUUGACCGUGAAUAACUCUCUCAUCUUAACGAAUUUGGACAAUCUAUAAAUUGGGUCUUGUAGAGGAAAUACAAGACUACAAGAUCCAACAAUCAUAACCUCUAAACAAACAUCAGAUCUGGGAUAAAUCAGCCAUCAAAGUAGCUACCAAAGCUGUUCUUCACGAAGAACAGUUCGAGGUGCCUACUUUGGACCUCUAUAACUUGAUGAUCGUGUAACGUUUAUGUGAUCUAUCAAUUCCAGUGUGUAGACAACAUGUAGGACUACAACUCUAACACUUAACAUCAUCAUAAAAACAAGAAAUCAAGCAUCUAAAGUAUGGUCAAACCUUGUCAGAAAAAUUAACACUUAGAAAAUUCUGGGCUGCCCAGAAUUUUCUGGUCAAUGCCGGUCAACCCACUUUGACCUUAAAUAACUCUUAAUCCGUAAUAUAUAUGGACCUGAUUCUUUUUGGAGGUUAAAUACCACAUAACAAGAUACACAUAUCAACCUUUAGAACACAAAACACAUUAAAGAUAACCGAGAUAUAAGGCCUGACAUUUUCCAAAAUAAUAUUUUCUGGACACUUAGAAUAUUUUCUGGGUUUGAAGAACAGCCGGUCAAUGCCGGUCAACCCACUUUGACCGCUUAUAAAUCCCGAUCUACAAUAGCUAUGAACUUUAUUCCUUUUGGAGAUUAAAGACCACAUAUCAGGCUACCUAUAACAACUUUUAAAAAACAAAACUCGAGAUCGACCAAAGAUUUAUAGCCUCUGACAUUUGGUGAAAAAUAACAGAAUUCGGUUUUUCCAACUUGUUUAAAUCUUCAAAUUCGUGCACUUUGAUGUUAUGGGUUCAUGAUUUUACAACCCAGAACAUUAAUAGACUCUCUAUUACACUACUUUAAACAAUCAAUUGCAUCAAUUAACAUCGAAUCGAAGGAUUUCUAGAAUUUAGGAUUUCCUACCUUUUCAAGCUUGAUUUUUGAUUUCUGGCUUCUUGAUGCUUCUGAUUUGUUGUUUGUGAUGGUUGGGCUUUGUUUAGGGACUGAUAUGCUACAAUAAUUCGUAGGUUUUAGAGAGAGAAGCUUAAGGAUGAGAGUUG